GGGCUCCCUGCCCCGCCAGGAGGCUGCUGCUGCUGCUGGGGGUGGCCGGGCUGCUGGCGGGGCUGGCGGCUGGGACGUGGCUGCUGGUGAAGCACACGAAGGAGCCCCCGCCAGGGCAGGGGUCCCCCCAGGAGCAGGGCUUGGACGCCAGCCCAGCCUGUGAUGAUGGGGAGGAGGAGGAGCCCGUGGUCCGGGGGGCUCCCAGCACAGUGUCCUUCAGGAUCAGCACAGCGAAUUCCUUGCUGGAGGCACGGGUGGAGGCACAUCCUGGCUGGCUCCUGGUGUGCCACAGGCACUGGGACCCCUCCCUGGGCACCCUGCUCUGCCAGCACCUCGG